rnacentral:ribozyme from 1 species
UUUUUCUGUUUUUGAAUUUUUGAUUUUUUUUUUUCUUUUUUGAGCCCGAAUAUGUCCAAACAGAAUAAACAAAAAA